rnacentral:lncRNA from 1 species
AGAUCGGGUUCUAGAUCGGGUUCUAGAUCGGGUUCUAGAUCGGGUUCUAGAUUUCAGUUUCACUUUCGGUUUCACUUUCACUUUCAGUUUCGGUUUCACUUUCACUUUCGGUUUCGGUUUCACUUUCACUUUCGGUUUCACUUUCGGUUUCGGUUUCACUUUCGGUUUCACUUUCACUUUCGGUUUCAGUUUCAGUUUCACUUUCUCCUUUCGGUUUCACUUUCACUUUCGGUUUCGGUUUCACUUUCGGUUUCAGUUUCACUUUCACUUUCAGUUUCAGUUUCACUUUCACUUUCGGUUUCACUUUCACUUUCAGUUUCAGUUUCACUUUCGGUUUCACUUUCACUUUCGGUUUCAGUUUCACUUUCGGUUUCACUUUCACUUUCGGUUUCAGUUUCACUUUCACUUUCGGUUUCACUUUCACUUUCGGUUUCAGUUUCACUUUCACUUUCAGUUUCACUUUCACUUUCGGUUUCACUUUCACUUUCAGUUUCACUUUCGGUUUCGGUUUCACUUUCAGUUUCACUUUCACUUUCACUUUCGGUUUCACUUUCACUUUCAGUUUCACUUCCGGUUUCGGUUUCACUUUCACUUUCGGUUUCAGUUUCACUUUCGGUUUCACUUUCGGUUUCACUUUCGGUUUCACUUUCACUUUCGGUUUCACUUUCACUUUCACUUUUGGUUUCACUUUCACUUUUGGUUUCACUUUCACUUUCGGUUUCACUUUCAGUUUCAGUUUCGGUUUCAGUUUCAGUUUCAGUUUCACUUUCGGUUUCACUUUCACUUUCGGUUUCGGUUUCACUUUCGGUUUCACUUUCACUUUCGGUUUCAGUUUCAGUUUCACUUUCGGUUUCGGUUUCACUUUCGGUUUCGGUUUCACUUUCGGUUUCACUUUCACUUUCGGUUUCACUUUCACUUUCGGUUUCACUUUCAGUUUCAGUUUCACUUUCGGUUUCAGUUUCACUUUCGGUUUCGGUUUCACUUUCGGUUUCGGUUUCGGUUUCACUUUCGGUUUCGGUUUCACUUUUGGUUUCAGUUUCACUUUCGGUUUCACUUUCACUUUCGGUUUCACUUUCGGUUUCACUUUCGGUUUCACUUUCACUUUCAGUUAGGGUUAGGGUUAGGGUUAGGGUUACGGUUAGGGUUAGGGUUAGGGUUAGGGUUAGGGUUAGGGUUAGGGUUAGGGUUAGGGUUAGGGUUAGGGUUAGGGUUAGGGUUAGGGUUAGGGUUAGGGUUAGGGUUAGGGUUAGGGUUAGGGUUAGGGUUAGGGUUAGGGUUAGGGUUAGGGUUAGGGUUAGGGUUAGGGUUAGGGUUAGGGUUAGGGUUAGGGUUAGGCCCCUUAGG